CAAGGUUGACCUCGGAUCAGGUAGGGAUACCCGCUGAACUUAAGCAUAUCAAUAG
rnacentral:rRNA from 1 species